rnacentral:rRNA from 1 species
UGCGUAGGCGGUGCGGUAAGUCUCUUGUGAAAUCUCCGGGCUCAACUCGGAGCCUGCAAAGGAAACUGCCGUGCUUGAGUGUGGGAGAGGUGAGUGGAAUUCCCGUUGUAGCGGUGAAAUGCGUAGAUAUCGGGAGGAACACCUGUGGCGAAAGCGGCUCACUGGACCACAACUGACGCUGAUGCACGAAAGCUAGGGAGCAAACA